rnacentral:RNase_P_RNA from 1 species
UCAGACGGUCGGAUGGUCGCCGCGUCAGCGGAGGAAAGUCCGGGCUCCAUGAGAACACGGUGCCGGGUAACUCCCGGCGAGGGAAACCUCAGGGAUAGCGCCACAGAAAAUAUACCGCUCGGCAGAGUAAGGGUGAAAUGGUGCGGUAAGAGCGCACCGCGUCGGCAGCAAUGUCGGCGGCACGGCAAGCCCCACCGGGAGCAAGAUUAAAUAGAGGCGGAAGGACCGUGUUCAUACUCCACGGUCCUAGGCAGCGUUUUCAGGCCUCAGACGUCCGGGUUGAUCGCACGAGGCGCGCAGCAAUGCGCGUCCCAGAUGAAUGGCCAUCGUCGUUACACAACGAUACAGAACCCGGCUUAUAGACCGUCUGGCACU